AACGGCAGUAGACUAACAGGAUCCCUUAGUAACUGCGAGUGAAGAGGGAAAAGCUCAAAUUUAAAAUCUGGCAGCAUUUUGCUGUCCGAGUUGUAACCUAGAGAAGUGUAACCUGUGCUGGACCGUGUAUAAGUUUCCUGGAAUGGAGCAUCACAGAGGGUGAGAAUCCCGUCUUUGACAUGGACUACCAGUGCAUUGUGGUUAUGCUCUCAACGAGUCGAGUUGUUUGGGAAUGCAGCUCUAAAUGGGUGGUAAAUUCCAUCUAAAGCUAAAUAUUGGCGAGAGACCGAUAGCGAACAAGUACCGUGAGGGAAAGAUGAAAAGAACUUUGGAAAGAGAGUUAAACAGUAUGUGAAAUUGUUGAAAGGGAAACGUUUGAAGUCAGUCGCGUUAGCUGGGGAUCAGCCUGACAUUGUUGGGUGCACUUCCUGGUUGACGGGCCAACAUCAGUUUUGACUGCCAGAAAAAGGCCAAGGGAAUGUGGCACCUUUGGGUGUGUUAUAGCCUUUGGUCAUAUAUGGUGGUUGGGACUGAGGAACGCAGUGUGCCGAAAGGCCGGGUUUCGACCACGUUCACACUGAGGAUGUUGGCAUAAUGGCUUUAAGCGACCCGUCUUGAAACACGGACCAAGGAGUCUAACAUGCAUGCGAGUGUUUGGGUGGAAAACCCUUACGCGUAAUGAAAGUGAAAGUUGAGAUCCCUGUCGUGGGGAGCAUCGACGCCCGGACCAGAACUUUUGGGACGGAUCUGCGGUAGAGCACGUAUGUUGAGACCCGAAAGAUGGUGAACUAUGCCUGAAUAGGGUGAAGCCAGAGGAAACUCUGGUGGAGGCUCGUAGCGAUUCUGACGUGCAAAUCGAUCGUCAAAUUUGGGUAUAGGGGCGAAAGACUAAUCGAACCAUCUAGUAGCUGGUUCCUGCCGAUUUUCCCCCUCAGAAAAA
rnacentral:rRNA from 1 species